GGGAAGGUUGAAAAAGAGUUUUGGAAAAUGGUUUCCCUUCUCUUGAUAGGGAAAACAUUUUCCUCCAAUUGGAGAAAAAUAAGUUAACAAGAAAAAUGUUUUCCAAAACAUUUAAGCAAACCAAACAUGGGAAAACAUAACAUACCAAAGUCCAAACACAUCCUCAAUCUAACUUAAUCGUCUGGACUGAUUUUUGCUUCUCUUCAAAACAUCUUGUGUUUCCGUUCUAUCCAAAUCACUGAUUAGGCACAAGUUGGAAUCGUGUACCACCAGCAAUUUCAAGCUUUAUCCAAUUAAGGACAGAAUUGCAAGACACGUAUCCCGUGAAAGAUGCAUUCCAGACAGGAAAAGAGGUCAAAAGAUAAAAAACAAGUAAUGUUACUGAAUAAGCCAAUGCCAGUGAUGAAGUUGUAUAUGAGAUUUUGGCUUACAUGAUCGUUUACAGCAAAUCACCCCUUGUCACUCUAUGCAUAAUGGCCUCUUGCAAAAAUUCAUGUGUCUGGCUCCCGGUUCUGCGCUGCACUCCUUGAGAUGCCCCAAAGAGAUAUCCUUGGUAGGGGUUUCUCAUGAAACUUCUUCCAACCGAUAUUGAAUGGAUAUAAACAAUUUUACUAUCAGUAUCAAAAUAAUGAAGUGCAACAGCAGGAUAUACCAGGCUCCAUAUAAUAAGAAGCAAGUUAGAAGAAAAAGCAAAUAACUACAACACCAGAAACGCACCCUUUCCAGCAAGAGGAUUAGGAAGCAGAGGGACCAAUCACUAAAAGAUACCUGCAGAGCAUAAUGCAUGCCACUUCAUCAAUGCAGUUUCCGAAGAUGGACCCUCCAUGAUUAAACCGCAACCACUGC
rnacentral:lncRNA from 1 species